UAAGACGAACCGUGCGAACGUUGUUCGGAAUCACUGGGCUUAAAGGGCGCGUAGGCGGCUUCGCAAGUCCGGGGUGAAAGCCCCCAGCUUAACUGGGGAAGUGCCUCGGAUACUGCGGAGCUCGAGCGAGGUAGGGGCAGCGGGAACUUCCGGUGGAGCGGUGAAAUGCGUUGAUAUCGGAAGGAACGCCGGUGGCGAAAGCGCGCUGCUGGACCUCUUCUGACGCUGAGGCGCGAAAGCCAGGGGAGCAAACGGGAUUAGAUACCCCGGUAGUCCUGGCCCUAAACGAUGGGUACUAGGUAGUGGGCUUACAUGGGCUCACUGCCGAAGCAAAAGUGGUAAGUACCCCGCCUGGGGAGUAUGGUCGCAAGGCUG
rnacentral:rRNA from 1 species